rnacentral:rRNA from 1 species
AUACGGGGGGGGCGAGCGUUGUCCGGAAUUAUUGGGCGUAAAGGGCGCGUAGGCGGAAUAGUAAGUCAGAAGUGAAAAUCAUGGGCUUAACCCAUGACCUGCUUUUGAUACUGCUAUUCUCGAGUGCGAGAGAGGAAAGCGGAAUUCCCGGUGUAGCGGUGAAAUGCGUAGAUAUCGGGAAGAACACCGGUAGCGAAGGCGGCUUUCUGGCUCGCAACUGACGCUGAGGCGCGAAAGCGUGGGGAGCAAACAGGAUUAGAAACCCCAGUAGUCC